rnacentral:rRNA from 1 species
UACGGAGGGGACUAGCGUUGUUCGGAAUUACUGGGCGUAAAGCGCACGUAGGCGGAUUUGUAAGUCAGGGGUGAAAUCCUGGAGCUCAACUCCAGAACUGCCUUUGAUACUGAGGAUCUUGAGUUCGGGAGAGGUGAGUGGAACUGCGAGUGUAGAGGUGAAAUUCGUAGAUAUUCGCAAGAACACCAGUGGCGAAGGCGGCUCACUGGCCCGAUACUGACACUGAGGCGCGAGAGCGUGGGGAGCAAACAGG